AUUGAACGCUGGCGGCAGGCCUAACACAUGCAAGUCGAGCGGAUGAAGGGAGCUUGCUCCUGGAUUCAGCGGCGGACGGGCGAGUAAUGCCUAGGAAUCUGCCUGGUAGUGGGGGAUAACGUCCGGAAACGGGCGCUAAUACCGCAUACGUCCUGAGGGAGAAAGUGGGGGAUCUUUGGACCUCACGCUAUCAGAUGAGCCUAGGUCGGAUUAGCUAGUUGGUGGGGUAAAGGCCUACCAAGGCGACGAUCCGUAACUGAUCUGAGAGGAUGAUCAGUCACACUGGAACUGAGACACGGUCCAGACUCCUACGGGAGGCAGCAGUAGGGAAUAUUGGACAAUGGGCGAAAGCCUGAUCCAGCCAUGCCGCGUGUGUGAAGAAGGUCUUCGGAUUGUAAAGCACUUUAAGUUGGGAGGAAGGACAGUAAGUUAAUACCUUGCUGUUUUGACGUUACCAACAGAAUAAGCACCGGCUAACUUCGUG
rnacentral:rRNA from 1 species